rnacentral:rRNA from 1 species
UACGAAGGGGGCAAGCGUUGUUCGGAAUUACUGGGCGUAAAGGGCGCGUAGGCGGUGCGUUAAGUUAGGCGUGAAAGCCCUGGGCUCAACCCGGGAACUGCGCUUGAUACUGGCGCGCUUGAAUCCAGGAGAGGUUGGUGGAAUUCCCAGUGUAGAGGUGAAAUUCGUAGAGAUUGGGAAGAACACCGGUGGCGAAGGCGGCAUCCUGGACCGACACGUGACGCUGAGGAGCGAAAGCCAGGGGAGCAAACGGG